rnacentral:rRNA from 1 species
GACGAACGCUGGCGGCGCGCUUAAUACAUGCAAGUCGAACGAGAAGCCAGAGCUUGCUCUGGUGGAAAGUGGCGAACGGGUGAGUAACACGUGAGAAACCUGCCCAAAGAUUGGGAUAAGCCUUGGAAACGAGGUCUAAUACCAAAUACCUUCCUUUUAACACAUGUUAAAAAGAAGAAAUGCUCCGGCGCUUUGGGAUGGUCUCGCGAUCUAUCAGCUUGUUGGUGAGGUAACGGCUCACCAAGGCAUCGACGGAUAGCUGGUCUGAGAGGAUGUCCAGCCACAUUGGAACUGAGACACGGUCCAAACUCCUACGGGAGGCAGCAGUAGGGAAUCUUGCACAAUGAGGGAAACCUUGAUGCAGCGACGCCGCGUGCGGGACGAAGGCCCUAGGGUUGUAAACCGCUCUCAGUAGGGACGAAAGUGACGGUACCUACAGAAGAAGCCCCGGCCAACUAUGUGCCAGCAGCCGCGGUAA